GAUGAACGCUAGCGGCAGGCCUAAUACAUGCAAGUCGAACGGGAUCCAGAUCAAAGCUUGCUUUGGUCUGGUGAGAGUGGCGCACGGGUGCGUAACGCGUGAGCAACCUACCCUUGUCAGGGGGAUAGCCCGGCGAAAGUCGGAUUAAUACCGCAUGACAUCAUUGAGAGGCAUCUUUCGAUGAUCAAAGAUUUAUCGGACAAGGAUGGGCUCGCGGGACAUUAGCUAGUUGGUAAGGUAACGGCUUACCAAGGCUGCGAUGUCUAGGGGCUCUGAGAGGAGCAUCCCCCACACUGGUACUGAGACACGGACCAGACUCCUACGGGAGGCAGCAGUAAGGAAUAUUGGUGAAUGGACGGAAGUCUGAUCCAGCCAUGCCGCGUGCAGGAGGACGGCCCUAUGGGUUGUAAACUGCUUUUAUACGGGAACAAACGUCGGUACGUGUACCGGUCUGAGUGUACCGUAAGAAUAAGGAUCGGCUAACUCCGUG
rnacentral:rRNA from 1 species